AACGGCCGUAAACCGGAAUGAUGAGCAUUAACUGCACAUCAUGGCUCCUUAGCCGUUUUCCGGCAGCCACUUGAUGGCCAUUAAUGCCAUCAAGGGCCUUAGCCCAGCGCUGGGGGGCUAUAUAUAUGCACCUCCACUUCAUUUGCAAGGUACGCAUUUUUUAUAGCUAAGAAAACCUUACACACAUACUGACUUGAGCGUCGGAGUGCCUGCAGGUACACAACCCCCCUCCGC
rnacentral:lncRNA from 1 species